UUAUUUCCUGAAGAAACAAACUCUUUAUUCCCAGCUCUUUCAGUGUUAAUGGGAUACAGUUUAAAAUACUUCUUUGGUGAUUCACACAGAAAUGAUUACCUAACCGAACUGGGAACAGGAAAAUGCACAAAGAAGACACAUGUUUGGUGUUAAAUCAAGCAAUUAGAAAAACUAAAAUAUAACAUUCCCUCCUUGGUUUGGCUAUUAGCUUUUUUACAAGUUAUUUCUCCUAACAUUUCACCUUUAAUGUCAAAUAUAUAUUUAAUUUAAAUCUGAUAAUGAAAUUAAUUAAAUGGUAACAUCAGGCUAGGAUUAAUAGCUGUGCUAGAUGAAGAUUUUUACUGUAACUGUAAAACCACACAUUCUCUUAUUCUUGGAACAAUCAGCCUCAGCUGAAAUCAUGUAUUAAAUUGAUGUUAUACACCUCAAAUAUUUCUGUUUUUAAAUGACUGGAAGACAGUCCCUAUGUGGCCAAUUACUUCUACAGUUUGCCAUCUAUUUUCCAACCUACCAUCAUGUUGUUAAUUACAGUGUCUUUUGUGGUUCUGAAAGGAAUAUCUUUCAUUUAUUAAUGAUGACAUAUAUCAAAUAUCUACCCUUAAUGCAGACUAUAAAUGAGAACUGUGUUUCUUUGUAAGGUUGUUAAAACUGGUUGUUAUGAAUCAAAAUGACAAUAGCACGCAGCAUCUCCAGUGAACCCUUUAAGAGUUUGAAAAGCAAUUUGGUAGACUAUGUGGAAGUUUGUAAUUACAUAAAAUAUCUUCUUCAGUAAUAAAUAUAAAACAUGCAGCAAAAAAAGCACUUUAUGUAAAUCUCCAUGAUGAAUAUUUAUUACUUGGUGCAUGGAAACAAACAUUCAAGUGAAUGAAUUCAGUAAUUUUUUUUUUCUAAUUCCACCACUUUUAGAAUUAAUAGAAGAGAAUUAUUGAUUAUUAAUAGAAGAAAUUAUUGAACAGACAGGUUAUUUCCAGUUUUAGACAUAAAUCUUAAAAAGGACAGUUAAACCAUCAGGUACACUGCAUUUGAGAUGUAGUUCCUCUUUCAGAUCAAUAGAAAUGAGAAGGAACUACAUCAGAUUUUAUGUUCCCUCAGCAUCACCUUGUGAACCUCAUACUAUUUCCAGCUCCUGACAUAACUUCAGUUAUAUUAUUUCCCUAAGCUUAUGCAAUCUUAACAGUAUCUAGAGAAGACUUGGAACCAUGUUUUUUUUUGUUUUGUUUUGUUUUGUUUUUAAUAAUAUAUUUCAUAUAAAGAAGCUGGAUGGGGCCUGGAUCAGACAAGCUCUUGAGUUUCCCCCAGGUGCCCACAGCUGACAGAGGAAGUGCCCAUCCUGCAUCUAAGCUAAAAAUUUCAUGGAGAUGCUCUCAGCCUCUCAGUGUGAUCUCAGGACAGCUACAGGCCACUAAAGCUCAGUGGUCUGAACACCAGUACCAACUGAGCAAUAUGCUCUCCUUUGUGGUAUCAGGGGCUCAGUCAUGCUCCAACAAGCUAAGGCCUAGAUGUCCUGCAGCAUGGUGUGGAUAGCAUGUGUUCUGAGCAGGACUGGUAUCCAUGCUGGUGUACACAAGACCACUGCUCUUGAGUCUAUUUUGGGCACUGUAGGUUUACUCAUGGCCACUUAGUGUCACCAUUUCUCAGCUCAGUAACAGGAAAUUGGUGGGCCUUUGUGGCAGGAGAGGCAACCGUUUAGACUCAUGCAACAACCCCUUGAUCACAUAUAGGAGCCAGAGGCCUCGUGUGUGUUUAUGUCCGGUGCAAGUAGUUGCUCAGCUUGUUUACUCAUCUGCAAAGUCUUUUGUUCGUAAUGUCUUUCUUUGUCCCACCGGUUUUGCAAUACAUUCCCUCCCACAGAGAAGCCCGUGUUCUCUGCAAGCCGUGAAGAAAUGAUGAGGACUUGCUUUCGCUAAGACCUAAUUUUAACUGAAAUCACGAUGAUGCUACAAUAUUAUAUGUAAUUGACAGCAUGGUGAUGUGGAAC
ensembl:lncRNA